CAGAGUCACGUAGUUUGAUCCGUGGCUCAGAACGAACGCUGGCGGCAUGCCUAACACAUGCAAGUCGAACGAGACCUUCGGGUCUAGUGGCGCACGGGUGCGUAACGCGUGGGAACCUGCCUUUAGGUUCGGAAUAACUCAGAGAAAUUUGAGCUAAUACCGGAUGAUGUCUUCGGACCAAAGAUUUAUCGCCUUUAGAUGGGCCCGCGUAAGAUUAGCUAGUUGGUGGGGUAAAGGCCUACCAAGGCGACGAUCUUUAGCUGGUCUGAGAGGAUGAUCAGCCACACUGGGACUGAGACACGGCCCAGACUCCUACGGGAGGCAGCAGUGGGGAAUAUUGGACAAUGGGCGAAAGCCUGAUCCAGCAAUGCCGCGUGAGUGAUGAAGGCCUUAGGGUUGUAAAGCUCUUUUACCCGAGAUGAUAAUGACAGUAUCGGGAGAAUAAGCUCCGGCUAACUCCGUG
rnacentral:rRNA from 1 species